GUAUUGGUGAUCUGUCGUGCACGUAGGAAACAGCGUCGCCAAAUAAUGCGUGCACCGACGGAAUACAGGCAUUCCCUAAAAUGUCAGCAUAUUGACUGGUUGUCAGAUUUCCGUCAAUUCUAUCCAAUUCACCAGGGCCAGCUGCUGACAUUCAACCUCAAACAGCUAGAAAAUAUAAGUACAGUGUGUUCACAAAAACACUCCUCAAUUUUAGUUGGCUAUAAAAUGAAAACCUUGGGGAAUAUUGUUCAUUUUUUGGGUAAACGUGUAACGACUCAUAAAGUUUCAUGUGAUAUAUGUUCAUUAUAGGCAUUCAAUGUGUGCCCACCUGUGACACGGCAAACAUCUAGGCCAGGGGUGUCAAACUGGCGGCCCGCGGGCCGCAUGCGGCCCUUGAAGUGAUUUUUUGUGACCCUCAGCGCUCUUAACUAAAAUGAAAAUGAGAACAGUAGGCUAUGUUAUGAGAUAAUAGAAAGUAACUCUCAUUU
rnacentral:lncRNA from 1 species